rnacentral:miRNA from 1 species
CGCCUGCCUGAGCGUCGC